GAUGAAGAACGUAGCGAAAUGCGAUAAGUAAUGUGAAUUGCAGAAUUCAGUGAAUCAUCGAAUCUUUGAACGCACAUUGCGCCCGCCAGUAUUCUGGCGGGCAUGCCUGUCUGAGCGUCAUUUCAACCCUCAUGCCCCUAGGGCGUGGUGUUGGGGAUCGGCCAAAGCCCGCGAGGGACGGCCGGCCCCUAAAUCUAGUGGCGGACCCGGCGUGGCCUCCUCUGCGAAGUAGUGAUAUUCCGCAUCGGAGAGCGACGAGCCCCUGCCGUUAAACCCCCAACUUUCCAAGGUUGACCUCAGAUCAGGUAGGAAUACCCGCUGAACUUAAGCAUAUCAAUAAGCGGAGGA
rnacentral:misc_RNA from 1 species